rnacentral:lncRNA from 1 species
UGUCAGAGGAAGGGGAUUGUGAUGAGAGGAAAGGCCAGGGGACUGGGACACUUUUUCCUUUGUGAUUAUAAAAUUGAACAGACAAGGUUGCUUCAAGCUAGGAAGUUGCUGCUGGAAGUAUUUAGCUUUGCUGGGGCUGGGGGGCUUGACACCCACAGCCUUAUACUCCUUCCUGAGUUUCAUCCCAUCUCACAGGUUCUCCCCAACUUCAUGGCCUUUGCCUAUCUAGGAGCCUCAGACACAUAGGCUAGACAAAGGCCUCAUCCACAUGAUGCGCAGGUAUGGGUCUAGCUCCUGCAUGAGCUCAACAUCUGGGCCUGUCUGAGCUGCACAGCUGAAGAAAGAGACAAGAUGUCUAUAGCCUCACCCACUUGGUAAGAGUUGGACUUUACAAUGGAUGCCCUUUCUUGCACUCCAGAGUAGUUAGAGGUAAAAAACAAGCAAUAUCUGCUGUGGGCUCUUGGCUUUUCUGUGGGUCCCUCCAUACACUACCAGGAACUGCUUCCUUUUUCCUUCCUGCAGAGGAAUCAGGCAUGGCUGAGAAAGACAUUCGAGUUGUGCAGGUGGUGAUGAUUUGUGCUUUAGAGGAUGGAGGAGGCCUGCAGGGAAGGCGGAGCUGCGGGGAACACUCUCUAGGAGGGAGAGUAACAUGCCUACAAACACCUGGGAAGGUGAGGGCUGCCUCUCCUGCUUGGGCUGGACCUGGGACCAGCUCUCAGAGAUGGGAUUGGAGGGGCAGAAGAAAUGCCCCCAGAAAGAGGGAGGAAGCAGCAUGUUGGCAUCCUUCUCUCUCAGCUCUGGAAUGGGUUCUUCCUAAGCACAAAUGUUGUGUUCAGGGACACUCAGCCCACACUCAGCUGGUGACCCUUUAAUGUCCAAGCAUCCACAGGCAGGCACUGGCUGCCAUGGCUGUUUCCCCAUUGCCUCCUCAUGACUUCUGCCUCCUCCUCAGGAACCAGCUAGAUGUCAGGGCCGGGAGAGGUGUUAGACCCUCUAGGAAAAGAAAGCAGAGCCAGGCUGGCACGUUCUCUCUGAGACGACAAGAGUCCCCAUCCCCUUGUGAUGUCAUCAUCCUAUCCCGUUGUUCUGAAAUGAUGAAUUCCACAAAGGAAUUCCUAUCCAUGGCCCCUGCUUGGAACUAGACAGGAACAUUCCUCCAGCCUCCAUCAUCCUCCCCUUCCCCUACUCUGAGGAAUCUUCUCACCUUUCAUUAGACUCUAAGUUCCUUGGAGAGUCAGUACUCACGGGGAGUACUUUUAGGAUCAACACUUGUGGACGGGAGAAGAUGGAAGCAGGACUGGGUAGAAGAAGAAGCUGGGCUGCAAUGAAGUCCCAUUGAAGACCUCAGCUGACCUUGCAUGGAGCCUGCAUCCCAUCCAGGAUACCUGUUACAUUUACUUGUCAUAUCUCCUCAAGCUUCUCUUGGCUAUGACAGUUUUUUAGACUUUCCUUGAUUUUGAUGACCUUGACAGUUUUGAGGAGUUCUGGGCCCGAUGUUGCAGAAUGCCUCCUUAUUGAAAUUUGUCUGAUGUUUUCCUCAUGAUUAGAUUGGGGUUGUGAGUUUUGGGGGGAAGGUAAUAGAGGAAAAGUGUCAUCUUCAUCACAUCAUAUUAAAGGUACAUAUUAGUGACAUGA